rnacentral:rRNA from 1 species
AUUGAACGCUGGCGGCAGGCCUAACACAUGCAAGUCGAGCGGAUGAAGGGAGCUUGCUCUCUGAUUCAGCUGCGGACGGGUGAGUAAUGCCUAGGAAUCUGCCUGGUAGUGGGGGACAACGUUUCGAAAGGAACGCUAAUACCGCAUAAGUCCUACGGGAGGAAGUGGGGGAUCUCGCGACCUCACGCUAUCACAUGCGCCCAGGUACGAUUAGCUAGUUGGUGAGGUAAAGGCUCACCAAGGCGACGAUCGUUAACUGGUCUGAGAGGAUGAUCAGUCACACUGGAACUGAGACACGGUCCAGACUCCUACGGGAGGCAGCAGUGGGGAAUAUUGGACAAUGGGCGAAAGCCUGAUCCAGCCAUGCCGCGUGUGUGAAGAAGGUCUUCGGAUUGUAAAGCACUUUAAGUUGGGAGGAAGGGCAGUAAGUUAAUACCUUGCUGUUUUGACGUUACCGACAGAAUAAGCACCGGCUAACUUCGUGCCAGCCGCCGCAGUAACAC